rnacentral:lncRNA from 1 species
AGAGGAGAGCCACAAAGAUCUGAAUUGCCGAUAUAGAUAGAUGGAUCAGUAAAUGUUUGUAAUUGACUACCAGUGGGAAUUCUACCUGAAAGAUUGUUAUAUGAUAAGUUCAAAUCACUCAGGAAAUUUAACGCCGCCAAGGUUGAAGGAAUUGCUCCAGACAAAUUAUUUCUGGAGAGAUCAAGAAUUUCUAAUUGUUGCAUUCCAUUAAUAUUGCUCGGUAUCUCCCCUGUUAGGCAAUUUCUCGAUAGAUUUAAGCUCCGUAAUUCAUGCAAAUUUCCCAACUCCUCAGGGAUGUAUCCAGACAAACUGUUGUUGGAGAGAUCAAUAACUUUAUCAAUUGAAAGCAGUCUUGUAGUAUACUCGAGUUCACUCCCUUUUAUGAAGAGCCACAUUUCGUCAUCGUAGCUAUAGUUGUUGAAGUAUAAUUCACUUGAAGAAGACCUCUUCAAUGAACUGAAGUUGCCCAAGCUACGUGGUAUUGCUCCUGAAAAUGCAUUAUUGGAGAGAUCCAAUAUCUGCAGAUAUGUAAGAUGAGAUAAUUCAGGAAUGCUUCCGGUGAGGGCAUUCGACCUUAAGCUGAGAGUCUUAAGGAAUGGUAGGCUUUCUUCAAUCCAAGCUGGUAUAUUUCCAAUGAAGUUGUUGUAGCCCAAAUCAAGAGUAACCAAGUUUGUACAACUUUUUAAGGAUAGAGGAAUUUGCCCUAUUAAAUUAUUGUUGCUCAGAUGCAGUGACUGUAGGCUUCGCAAAUUGCUGAGGGAGUUGGGAAUUCUUCCUUGUAAUUUGUUGCUCGAUACGUCCAAAAUAAACAAACUCGAGAAAUUUUUCCAGCAAUUAGGAAUCUCUCCUGAUAAAUUAUUUUUUGAAAUUCGAAGCACUAGCAAAUACUUAUUUUGGCAAAAGGACAAGGGGAUGCUCCCACUCAGAUGAUUCAUAGAUAAAUCAAACCAAUAUAAAUAUUGCAUUGUGUUUGAGAUUUUUGAUGAAAGAUGACCCAAGAACGAGUUAUUUGAGAGAUCCAAAUAGUAAGUUUGCUUUCCAAAAAGUUGUGGCAGCUCACCAGCAAUCUUAUUGCCAGAGAGAUCCAAAACCUCAAGAUUUGGCAUGAUGUUUGCGAUUCUUGGAGAAAGGUGGCCUGAGAGCGAGUUGUUUGAGAGAUCCAAAGAAAUUAGGUUUGGAAGAUAUUGUAGCAAAUCACCGCUAAUCUUAUUAUUGGAAAGAUACAAAUACUCGAGAGAGGAAGGAAGCCAGUUGGGAAUCCUUUCUUUGAUACUUGUACUUGAUAAAUCUAAACCACGAAGAGUUGUUUGCAAUCGGAGCCAUUUCGGAAAAUGAGGCCUCGGCACUAUUUGGCAGAAGAACAUAUAGAGACUUUGAAGCUGAAAAGGAGGGAUCCAGUCAUCACCUUUAUUCAAAUCAAUAUAGCUAUAUGAAAUGUCCAAGAACUUUAAACUCGAUAAAUUAGCAAAGUGAACCUUUGAAAAGCGAAAUGAGUUAUUAGAGAGAUCCAAAUUGAUAAGGCCCUUCAGUCCUCCGAUGCCUUCUGAAAUCGACCCGUUCAAAUCGUUGGAGUAUAAAAACAAAGAUUGCAGCGAUGAUAGAUUUCCAAGAGAUGCAGGAACUGAUCCGUAGAGGAAGUUGUAUGAAAGACGAAGAGACUUGAGAUUCUUGAAGUUCCCCAACCAAUCCGGCAAGGAACCUCUCAACUGGGUGCCGUGGAGAUCCAAUUCCUUUAAGCUAAACAUUAGGCAUCCAGAGAAAACCGAUUCUAGAUUGGACAGCAUAUCGUUGAUUGGUACCUCUUCUAGGUAGAGAAUUUGGAGCUUGCUGAGAUUGGAUAGAGCUUCUAGUCUGAAGUCGUCGUGGAACAUAUUACCAGACAAGUCGAGUGCCCUGAGAUUUGUCAACUUGGCAAUAGUAUCAGGAGUUUGCCCAUAUAGGUAAUUCCAACAAAGAUAAAGCUCCUCGAGGCUGGUUAUAUUAAACAGCCAGUCUGGCACGGUAGAGUUGAUGAUGUUGUCUUCCAAAUUUAGAGUUGUAAGAGAUGUGAAGUUGACAUGAGGCAGCGACGGAGGAAAGGUCCUCAAGUCACAAGAAACUAAUUCAAUCACUUGAAUACGAGAGAGCGUGUUCAAUGCUUGUAACCAAUUGGACACAUUUCUAAAACUAACCCAAUUCAUGUAAAGGUGCUGUAGAGAAGUCAAACGAGAGAUCCAUCCAAUGUUUUCGAUGUGCAAAUCAUAAUUCGAGUAGAAAUUAUAAGAAAGGUCGAGUUGGUGCAAGGUGGAGAUAUUUCCCAGCUGAUCAGGUACUCUACCUCCGAAGCCUGCACUUGAGAGAUUAAGAUAUGUUAGUCUUCUAAAUGAUCCCAAGAACUCUGGGAUACGAUUUCCUUCAAAGUUGUUGCCGCUAAGAUCCAAAUGAUUAAGGUGUUGGAGAGAAAGCAAUGAUGGAGUUAUGCCACCGUGCAGUGCCCAUCUGCAUCCAACAUCAUCAUCAUCGAAGUUAGUCUCAGAGCAAUCCAUGUAUGAAACAUCUGACCGAUGUCUAUUGCGAAGGUGGAGCUCGAUAACAUGGCCAGUGACGUUGCUGCAGCGGAUGCCUUCCCAACUACAACAAUCCUCCCCAACCCAGGAAGAAAGACGAUGGGAAGGAUCACGGACUCGUUGCUUGAACUCCAUGAGGGCUUUCCUCUCUGUCUCUUGACAGCGGAUCAUGGAGAAACCAUCCGAGAUCCCGAGCUCAAUGCAAAGUACGGAAAGAGAGAAGACGAUCACAGGAAGAGGAGAUCUUUCACCCAUGGAUGGAUAUUAGAGGAUCUAAUUAACUUCUUAUUACUCGUGCGGCAGGCAGUAGUCCAUGUGUGUGUAUUUAUAUGAAUAUUCUGCUCUAGUCUCUUGUGAACAUGAACAUUAGGACUAUGGACUUGGUGGAUGCUGGAUAUCCAUAGAUAGAUGUCAUUAUUCCGCUGGUAGUCAAAGUCGUCUGAGGUGAGAAUCAUUCAACACUCGAUGGAAAUUGGGUGCCGUAGAGAGGCCGGGAAGCUUUUCCUCCACACUUUACACGAUCGUGAUCUCAAUUUGGAGUUUCCUACCUUUGCUCAUAUUGGAUUUUAAGAUUUACGAAUACGAUGAUGGUUCCAUCAAAAUGAUUUUUUGUGUAUCACAUAUCAAGAUUAUAACUUAUUUGGAGAUUCAAAACUUGGGAAUGUAAUCUGUUCACUAUUGUACAAAUCACCGCAUCCUACAAAACUGAUCAUACGAGGCUGCUUAAUGCGUGUUUUCGAGUCAACAUAUGCCUGUUGUGUAACAGACAUUUCUUCACUUAAAAACUUUGAUCAAACAAAAGAGCUCCUCAAAAUUGUUAUCAUAUACUUGACUCAAUUAAUCUGUUUAAUCUUUAAAAAAACUAUAACAAAAAAAAAGCUACUAAAAUCACUGUCAUUUAAAUUGCUUAUCCUUUUUUAUCAGCCACCAUCUAUCUACAAUCGGGUAUUGUGUUAAACAAUCUAUUCACGUAAGGGAAUCAAGGAAAGUUAUUAUGAAUCAUCAUCAUUUAUUUGACCUAGUAAAUUUCACUUAAAUAAUUGUUAUUUGCCUGACUCAACUAAUAUGUUGAAUGAUUCAUUUAAAUAGUGAUCGUGAUCACAAUUUGAAGUCUCCUACUUGACGUUCAAUGUGGUUUUCGAGUCAACCCAUGUGUGUUGUGUAUAAGACAUUCGUUACUUUACCAAAGACAAGACUGUCAUUUACUUGACCAAAGAAAAAAAAGCAACUAGAAAUCACUGGCAUUUACUUUACUCAAUUACUAUGUUUAGUCCUCCAAAGCAGAUGAAACAUAUAAUAACGAAGAUCGAUGGUUACGUGUGUCAUGACAUUAUAAAAUAUCAUCAUUAGAAGGGCUCUGAUUUAAAAAAAUGAGAAAGAUACUCCGUCGUGUUGUGCAGAAAAUAUGUACUUAUUGAAAAGACAACAAAGAGAAAUGCUACUCUAAAUCACUAUCAUUUGCGGGAUCUUUGAAACAGUUGCUAUUGUACAGCUUACAUGUACGUCAAUCUUUAUCGCAGGAUGUAGAGAUCUAAUCGGAGUUUCAAAUAUUUGUAACAAGACUUUCAGAAAAAGCAAAUCUAAAAUUUUAAUCAUCUAAUGCAUUUGCAUGGUUAUAACAAUUCCUAUUAUUAUUUUUAGUAGAAUCAUCAAACAUUAAAUGCAUCAUCAAUCAGCUACUCAUCUUUCCAAGGGACUAAUUUCGCCAGUGUAAAACGGGGAAACUUACGGAGGUUCAUUGACUAUAGAAAAAUAUAAAGAGAAAUAUACUCAAAAUCACUAUCAUUGACUUGACCCAUUUACUUUGCCUAUUCGAUGAAAGAAUAAUCAAAGAAAAAAAAACCACUUAAAUCAUUCUCAUUUCACUCUCAUUUACUUGAUCAAACGAAUGUGCUUAAGGUUCCAAACAAAUUUAUCAAUAAAGAAUAUCAUUUUUAUAAAUAUUUGAAAUGUCACACAUGUUGUUGAAAAUUGUACAUGGAGUGGGUUGUUCCCACAGCUUACGUCCACAUCAAUCAUUAACCAAAGAAUGUAGAGAUUUAAAGAGAAUUUGAAAUAGUCAUAGGACAUGUAUCACAAACGGUGUCGUGAAUGAAAAGUUCAUUUGAGUCAAUAUAUGAGAAAGUUUGCGGAUGCUCACCAUCACAUACAUGUUAUCAAAAAGCUUGAGAACAUACAUGUUAUCUAAGUCAAUAUGUGAGAAAAAAAUGGACGCGGAGCCUCUCAUACAUGUUAUCAAAAGCUUGAAAGUAAACAAUCCUCCAUCUCAUGUGAAGCAUGAGGCUUCCACAGAUCGUCCAAAAUCCCACGAUAAAUCCCAGUGCAGUCCACAUGAACAGCCAAAUUAUUUCAGUUCUGCUUGCAGAAUUCUUAUUGUUCUCUUUUUCUUCAGUAUGUUUUGCCAGGUCGUCUAUACAAUUUUUUGGGAGAGGAGGCCACAAAGAUUUGGAUUGCCGAUAUAGAUAGAUGGAUCAUUUAAAGUUUGCGAUUGGCUACUAGGUGGGGAUUUUACCCGAGAGAUGGUUAUACCACAAGUUCAAAUCAUUCAAGAAAUUUAAAACUAUUAAGGUGCAAGGAAUUGUACCCGAGAGAUUAUUUUUUGAGAGGUUGAGGAUUUCUAGCUAUUGCAUUCCAUCAAUGUUGUUUGGUACCUCCUCUGUUCAAAGGAAACUUCCACUUGAUAGUAUCGUAAGAUUUGCUUCUUCUUCAGGGGAUUAGAUGCCUUCCGAGAAUGUUUAAGCUAUCUGCAGGGUGCUCGACAUUCUUAAUCCACUUUGGGUUCCAAGUUUGAUGAUCCUUAUAAAAUUUUCUGCAGGGUCUGGGCAAUCACGAUCUCUUACGAAGGAAGUGGCACAUUUGGUCGCUAAUAAUCAGGACAACCUUGACUUUCUAAAAUUAACGGCCAUGUAUAGGAGGAGUUCCGAGAAGAUGCUAGUUGAUGCGAGCCUGGGUGCAGAAAAUAACGAAGGAAAUAACAUUAUUCUACUAUCAUAAUUCCAUGUCAUAUAAAUUUCAUGCGAGCCUGGGUGCAGAAAAUAUACUUUCUUCAGUCUAUCAAUUUCAAUCACUUAAACCCGAGGAACUUCCUUUGAAGCUGCUGCAAACUCCAGAAGACGUAGAGAACUUUUUUCCUGUCAACAGAUAAAGCUGUUCUACUCCUUGAGUUCCGUGGAUGGUCAGCCAAAUUGUUGCGCAGAAAGAACAAUGGAAAUUAUUAGACUAAUAUGUCUGCAUUUAAUCAUUCAGAGAAUGCUUUUCCACCUUAACUUGUUUGCCAACUGAUGGCUCAUUUCAGGUCUUCUUACUUUAUGUAAGCAGCAUGUAGAAUCAGCUCUCGUUUAGCAUUGACACCUUGCUGUUGAAUACGCCAAAUGUCAAUGACACUCUUAGUAGAUAUAAAACAAAUUUGAUAAAGGGUUAUGCAUUAUAGGGAAUUUUUUUCUUUUAUUGUAUAAAAAUAAUUUAUAGGUUCAUUGUCAUGGAGAACUGCGCCAGUUGCUUAUUGGCAAGUAACCUUCUAGCUUCUUGUUGAGAAGCAUGAUGCAGGGGAAACACAAUUCAUUAUCUGUUUCAUGGAUGCCAUCACAAGUACCCCACGGACGGACUGCGCCUUGUUUUUCCACCUGCUGCUACAGCCAUCACAUGUGUGCCGGUAUUGGCACUUAUUUUUCUCAUCCAUUUUAUAUAUGUGCUGGAAUUAAUGAGCAUGCCAUGUUUCGUCUAAUGCUUUUGAGCAUUUUGGUAUAUAUGACUUCUAUUUUCUCUUUUUGAAAAAUUUAAACUGUCUCGAUUUGCAGCAAAGGUAAAAUGGCUGUGCCAUGUCAGUGGAGGCUCUCAUGGUGCUUAAUAUGAGUUUUUAAUUGGUCAGUAAUUUGUUCAUGGUCUGCAUCCUAAUCCAACUCUUCAUCAUGCAGAACUCUAUCUUCAACUUUUCCUGUUAAGACACUGUACGGUGAUGAAUGUCUUGUGUUUAGCAGAGGUGGAAAGGAAAAUAAAAGAAUCCAAAAUGGAGGAUGUGUAUAAGCUAUAGACCAAUCAACAAGUGAAAAUGAGGCUUAAGACUAGAAAGAUUUUUCUUGUUAUGAGUGGAGUACUAUAAAUCCUGUAAUUAGUGUUACGGCAAAGAUUGUGACACUCAGUGAGAAGAUUUCUUGUCAUGUGUUAUGCAAAUGUUGUUACACAUCACAGAUGGUGGAAUACUUUUACAUAUUUUCAUAGAUGAUUCAUGACAAAUAGAAUCUAUUCAAUAAACUAAGCCACAGUGUAGCUUACGGCAAAAACAGAGUCGAACAAUACUGCUGGCUAAAUGUUAAUUAGAGCUUAUAGACUAUACGCAGAGAACUCAUACUUUGAUGAAAUAAAAUUUUGAUGCUAAGAGAAUUCAGAAAGACAAAUCGAUAGUCCUUGCAAAAAUUAAAAUCAUGUCACCAGUGGAUUAUGAAAAAACAUGCAAACCAUGAGCCCAAUACAUACUGCCUGAUACUAAUGGUGAACGCUCCCAUCGGCUUAGUCAACUUGACCCCCUACCAGUAGCUUCCUCUUGAACAUCGCCACAUUCAGUACCAGCACCACAUAGAGCCUAUCACAUAUGCUAUCAAUAGCUCGGAAGUAAGCAAUCCUCCAUCUCGAGUUCAAUAAGAUGCUUCCACAAAUCGUCCAAAAUCCCACGAUAAAUCCUACUGCACGGCACAUGUAUAGCCAAAUACUUUUAAGUCUAUCCUUAGAAUUUUCAUUUUCCUCUUCUUCUUUACCUUCUGUUGGCAUAUCAUCUGUACAAAUUUUGGCAAGAGGAGAGCCACAAAGAUCUGAAUUGCCGGCAUAGAUUGAUGGAUCUGUAAGCGUUUGUAAUUGGCUACCCGUUGGAAUUCUACCUGAAAGAUUGUUAUAUGACAAGUUCAAAUAACUCAAGAAAUUUAACGCCGCCAAGGUUGAAGGAAUCGCUCCAGACAAAUUAUUUCUGGAGAGAUCAAGAAUUUCUAAUUGUUGCAUUCCAUUAAUGUUGCUCGGUAUCUCCCCUGUUAGGUAAUUUCU